GAGGAAUUUUGCGCAAUGGGGGAAACCCUGACGCAGCAACGCCGCGUGAGUGAUGAAGGCUUUCGGGUCGUAAAACUCUGUCAAGUGGGAAGAACAAAUCUGAUGCUAAUAUCAUCAGAAUCUGACGGUACCA
rnacentral:rRNA from 1 species